rnacentral:rRNA from 1 species
UACGUAGGGGGCGAGCGUUUGUCCGGAUUUAUUGGGCGUAAAGAGCGUGUAGGCGGCCAGGUAGGUCGGUUGUGAAAACUGGAGGCUUAACCUUCAGACGUCGACCGAAACCAUCUGGCUAGAGUCCGGAAGAGGAGAGUGGAAUUCCUGGUGUAGCGGUGAAAUGCGCAGAUAUCAGGAAGAACACCCGUGGCGAAGGCGGCUCUCUGGGACGGUACUGACGCUGAGACGCGAAAGCGUGGGGAGCGAACAGG